rnacentral:misc_RNA from 1 species
CGGAUUGGUGUUAUACAGUUUGGAUUGCCUGUUUCAUGCUGUUAAGAGGCAUGCAAAAGAAACUGGUGAAUGGCAAUGUUUAAGGCAGGACAUUAUUGAUUUGGGACAACCCAGCCUUCAAACUACAUAUAAGCUUGUGGUGACAUCACGAAUGGCGCGUGUCUACGAUUGCUUGCUUCCUUCAUUAAAACAGCCAUAGCUUUUUUCCUUUCUUCCCAUGAGUUUUACUAAACCCCUCCUCGAAAUAAAUUAUAAAAUAAGAAAAAAGGGAGAAAAAGCCGCUAUUCAUUAGUUGAAUGCUUCAAUUUUGCAAAUGUGGA